rnacentral:rRNA from 1 species
GACGAACGCUGGCGGCGUGCUUAACACAUGCCAGUCGAACGGAAAGGCCCUGCUUUUGUGGGGUGCUCGAGUGGCGAACGGGUGAGUAACACGUGAGUAACCUGCCCUUGACUUUGGGAUAACUUCAGGAAACUGGGGCUAAUACCGGAUAGGAGCUCCUGCUGCAUGGUGGGGGUUGGAAAGUUUCGGCGGUUGGGGAUGGACUCGCGGUUUAUCAGCUUGUUGGUGGGGUAGUGGUUUACCAAGGCUUUGACGGGUAGCCGGCCUGAGAGGGUGACCGGCCACAUUGGGACUGAGAUACGGCCCAGACUCCUACGGGAGGCAGCAGUGGGGAAUAUUGCACAAUGGGCGGAAGCCUGAUGCAGCAACGCCGCGUGCGGGAUGACGGCCUUCGGGUUGUAAACCGCUUUCGCCUGUGACGAAGCGUGAGUGACGGUAAUGGGUAAAGAAGCACCGGCUAACUACGUG